CUCGGCUCGGCCCUGGGAACGGACAACUAGAUAGGAGACCACAUCUGGACGUAAUCGAGAGAAUAAAAGAGCCUACCCACAGAGGAAACUGAAAGGGAAACUGAAAGAUCCUGUUUUCUUCUGACACAAUGAUUCCAAGUGCAGUGAUUUCCCGGAAACCCAUACACUCUGCAUAACACCAUCAGACCACCCCCACCUCCUUGUACCACUCAGUGCUGUGGACAAACGACUGGGGGAAAGAUCACAGCCAUGCAGCAGGACUGAAGAAGAAGAGGUGCAGGCAGGUAUGAAACACACCUGUAUGAGGGGGCACAACCUCCACACUGACUGAACGUCCAUAACCACAUGAGCCUCUUCCUUAACUCAGCCAAGACAGAGGAUAUUCUGGAGCACAGACCAGCAAAGACUGACCAAGAAAACACAGGGAGAUCUUCUGCCACUACUACAGCCUGGUUCACAGGGAGAUCAUGCAGGCACUUGCUCUGUUCCUCACGGUGGUCUUCUCUGUGCUAAGAGGAGGUGCAGGUCAUGUGAAGGUCCAAACAGAGGAGGUUGUUUGGUCAGCGUGCGAGCAGAGUGUCACCCUCUUUUGUAACAUUUCAACCCCGCACAAAAAUUUUAGCAUUGUGGAUUUUUUUUGGAUGAAUUCCUCGCAAGGAAAACUCUGCACACACUCUGCCACCCUGAAUACAGAAACCUCUGAUCGCUUCCACUGUCAGUACACUGAUCUGCAGCAGUUAGCAUUGACCAUUCUGAGUCCCGGGAAAGAUGAAGAGGGGCGGUACUUCUGUAAAUUGUUCUCAGAUCGUGGUCAUGACAGAGCCAACACAACCCUGAAUGUCUUAGAGUGCCCUGUAAGGAUAUCUGACCCGAUGGAGUCCAGCAAACUGGAAAACCAAGCCAGCACUUUACAAAGAAAAUGGACAACUUUGGUGCUUUUAUUAGCAGGACUUUUAUUUGCUUUUCUAUAAAAGCAAACAUUUUUGGAUGGUCCAAGAUCCUGCAGAUGGAUGAUUCUUUCUGCUUCUGUGAGAUGUGAAAAAAAUGGGUUUUUAGGAAUUUUGGGGGAAUUUUGGUUAAAAAGAAGAACUGAUUCAUCAGAGAAGUACAGAUUGAAAACUGAUUCCAGUUGUAUUGGGGAUCAAUUGUAGGUUUUUUUGUAUCUCAGGAAUGUAGGAGAGCUGUAAAAAAACUGUUCCCAUAAUGUGCAAAUUUCUUCUGGGAGAAAUAUGAAUCUCUCCCUGUGAAGCUGGACUAAUCUGAUGCAAUUUUUGUAUACAUUUCUGUGCUUUGAGGUAAAUGAUGUUCUGUAUAUUUCUGUAAAUACACUUGUACACACACCUUCCACAAUAAACAACAGUAUCUGACUGACUCUCUUAAUGAUUAA